rnacentral:rRNA from 1 species
UACGUAGGGCGCAAGCGUUGUCCGGAAUUAUUGGGCGUAAAGAGCUCGUAGGCGGUCUGUCGCGUCCGUUGUGAAAACUCGAGGCUCAACCUCGGGCUUGCAGUGGAUACGGGCAGACUAGAGUGCGGUAGGGGAGACUGGAAUUCCUGGUGUAGCGGUGAAAUGCGCAGAUAUCAGGAGGAACACCGGUGGCGAAGGCGGGUCUCUGGGCAGUAACUGACGCUGAGGAGCGAAAGCGUGGGGAGCGAACAG